GACGAACGCUGGCGGCGUGCCUAAUACAUGCAAGUUGAGCGGAGCGGCGGACGGGUGAGUAAUGCCUAGGAAUCUGCCUGGUCGUGGGGGAUAACGUCCGGCAACGGGCGCUAAUACCGCAUACUAUCAGAUGAGCCUAGGUCGGAUUAGCUAGUUGGUGGGGUAAAGGACUACCAGGGAGACGAUCCGUAACUGGUCUGAGAGGAGGAUCAGUCACACUGGAAAGGAGACACGGUCCAGACUCCUACGGGAGGCAGUAGUGGGGAAUAUUGGACAAUGGGCGAAAGCAUGAUCCAGACAUGCCGCGUGUGUGAAGUAGGUCUUCGGAUUGUAAAGCACUUUAAGUUGGGAGGCGUUACCAACAGAAUAAGCACCGGCUAACUUCGUGCCAGCAGCGGCGGUAAUUC
rnacentral:rRNA from 1 species